UAACCUAGAAUUUCUCGCUUUCCAUUCAAAUGGCAUCUCUUUAAUUCAGUUAUUUUUGCAGCUGUAAUCUUUUAUGUUUAACAUUGUUGGGCAAACAAGAACUCAUUCUGGAAUUGAAGAAUUCGUCUAAUCGGAGCGGCUGAGAUUGAAGAAUUUGUUUGACGAUUUUGCUGCUAUACGCUUGAGGAGGCGGCGCCGCCCUGGCUGGAAUUUCCGCGGGAUAUAACCGCGGCGAUUCUGCACAAGUUGGGAGCGAUCGACAUACUGACGGCGGCGCAACAAUAUGUGCACUGAGUGGCAGAGUAUUUGCCGAGACCCUUCCAUGUGGCGGUGCGUCGAUAUGCGAUACUUGAACAAUCACGAUGAAAUAUCAUACAAUAUGGAGGAGAUGUUAUGCCACGCAGUCGAUCGCAGCCAGGGGCAAUUCGUAGUCUAUAUUGACUAUUGAUUUUAUAUGUGGAACUCACUUUUGUUUAAAUCUCUUACGGUUCGUACUCCAUUGGUAGCAUUUUAUGCCUACCAGCCCAAAUGGGGCUCUGGGAUCUUUAGAUUACCCAAAGCAAGAGAGGCUUCUUCUGGCAGUUAAAUAUCGCAAAUCAGCUCCCAAAUUUGGGUCUCCUGAACGACAAAAGUUGAUUGAUGAGGUCUGUCAUGCCCUAACCUGGGUUCUUCUUAUAUUGUUCCAUAAUCAAAAUGCAACACCAUGCUUACUGAUCUCAGAUUCAUGAAUACAUACUGAGCAAAGCACAGUCAGUGCCUCAGAGCAACGGGAACUUUGAAGUACAACAUACAGCCAAUGAAGAAAUUCAACGGGAACUCUGAAUUAUUGUGCAUUUUUCUGAUGUGUAGAAUGACGUUCAAGAAAAACGUGAAGGUUCAAAAGACGCAUAUCUAAUAGAUGUUCAUUUGAUUUUAUUUUGGGGGUAUACAACUUGUUCUAGAUGUAUAUAAGCCGAUGGUAUUUCAUUAUACAAGAAUUUCAUUAUGUAUGGAAUUCUUAAGUCCAUUGCUAUUCCAAAUAUAUAAAUUUACUAUAAUUCGCAGCAUAUUUGAUUUGAAUAUAAUAUAAUAUAAUAUAAUAUAAUAUAAUUCGACGAGUUGUUGUCGUCGCUGGGGUUCUCCCCUGACCUCGUCCGGCCAACAGCAGAAUUCUGUCACCGCUGGCCCUUUUCGGUUCGACAGAACAGACUAAUGAAUGGAUCAACAUUUAUGUCGAUCAACUGUGUUUCUUCUAUUGAACAUGAUUUGUGUAUCUGAAGAACGUCCGAGAUUAUCAUAAGGAGAGUGAGGGGAAGAGGGGGCAACCCUCCCUAGAAGCUUUUUACUGUUAGAUGAUGU